UUGCUUCAUGGCGAGAUGUUGAAAGACGGUUUCGGCUGUCACUAUAAGAUGGGCCCGCGGCGCAUUAGCUAGUUGGUAGGGUAAUGGCCUACCAAGGCGACGAUGCGUAGCCGACCUGAGAGGGUGGAUCGGCCACACUGGGACUGAGACACGGCCCAGACUCCUACGGGAGGCAGCAGUAGGGAAUCUUCCACAAUGGACGAAAGUCUGAUGGAGCAACGCCGCGUGAGUGAAGAAGGUUUUCGGAUCGUAAAACUCUGUUGUAAGGGGAGAACACGUACGAGAGUAACUGCUCGUACCUUGACGGUACCUUAUUAGAAAGCCACGGCUAACUACGUG
rnacentral:rRNA from 1 species